GGACACUGAUAAACUUUGGGGUUCAAGC
rnacentral:piRNA from 1 species